AUUCAAAACCACCCUUGUGAUUUCUGUAAAAGAUAGACAGGAACAUGGGCAGGAUGUUUAUACAGCAAAACGUAAACAUGUUCCCUGGCCUUCUUUAAAUAAAAAAUCAAGCAAAAGACCCGUUAGAUCAGCUAAUACUCAAUCUGAUGCGAUAUGCCCGUCUGUUCGCGGCGUCCUGUGUAGAUGUUGGACGUUUUUGCACAUGAAUAUUGUUUGUGUAAUGCAGUCAUAAUAUUUACGCAGGGACGCAGGAGGAGUGAGGUGGAAGCUCUGCCGAGCUGUGAGCACAGAAACUCGGACGGGGACUUGAGAUUGACUCCUGCAGGCAUUUUAUGAUCCAGGGAUAAAGGAAGAUUCAGUCCCACACAGUGAGUGGGAGCCUGUUUGGUGCCCCACCCUGCAGCCUACACCUCCCAGGGCCGCUCCACCAUGGUCUGUCUGAUGCAGGGAGAGACAUCAAUAAUAAGAGCUGAAGCAGAAACCACAAUGGAGAACACAAAAGAGAGAGGGAGGGCAGACACAGGCCACAACCGGCUCUGCUGCAGGCUGGAGUGGGCAGGCGUGUGGCUUUGGCCACAGGAAGCUCUGAAUUCUUUGGAGAAUGGAAGAUGUCUUAUGGGGAGACAUGCUGGCCUCCACCCACCCACUCACCACCCCAAAAUGACACCUGACCCCUUCAUGUGUUUAUAUCAGACCAUGGAAGUGAGAAAUAGUGAUGAGUCACUCUGGCUGUGUGUUUACACUCUGGAGUCACGCAAGGAAGGAAAUCAGCCACGGUCUGCUAAAAGUGGCGAGGUGAGAGAGAAUAGCUGCAGUCCCCCAGCGCUGCAGUGAUUUACCUCUCAGAGCCACAAUAUAUUUCACGUCAUCUCUGCUGCGAAGACUUUAGGCCAACAGAAGACAGCAACAUUAGCAGCGCUUUGGACUGUACUCUGAUUGCCACAAGGGCCAAAAGAAGAGGGCGUUACUGAGGAUAGGUGUUUGUGCAUACAUAUACUAUGUAUUCAGUCUUAUUAGACGCACAGUGUCAAUCACAUCCAGUUGCUUUCUAAUCAAGGCAGGUAAAAUGUCAUAGAAUGAAAACCUGUAUCUCCACACAUCCUAGAAAAACAGGGUUUUCAUCUUGAUGACCAUACAUUUCACUAUAUAAUUCAUCUUGAAAUGUUUUCAGAAACCUUUUUUUUCUCAGCUACAAGGAGAGGAUCCAAUUGCUCAAUUGAAUGUAAAAAUGAAAAUCUCUAAAACUGGAAUAACUUUUUCACCCAACAGAAAUGAUAUGUAUCCUACCUAUUCAGAUUUUCUUUAUUAUAAUUGAUAUAUUUCAUUGAUAACAAGAUUUAAAAAAAAAAACAAACCUUGUGGUUAUGAUUUCCUGCAAAAAAACAAGUAAUCCAACAACUGAAGCCCCUAACUAAACAACAUGAUUAUGCAGCACUUGAUAUUUUGUCUGACAUUGUGCUUGUCACAUAUAUCCCAAGUUAUUUUAUAUAAUUAUCCUAAUAGUGUAUGUUGUGAUGUAAAAAAGUGGAUUUUAUGAAAGCAAGCCAGCCACCCCUAAUGAUUUCAGUGAAAUCUGUGUUUGUGUAAAAGAUUUCAUAAAAAUACCAAAUACAUCAAAGUUGAUAGAAAUCCCAAAUCAUAAGUAAUUUGAAUGGCUUAGACUGAAACAAAACAGACUUGUUAGAUUUUGAACGGAAAUCAUAUUAAGAGAUAGAUGUGACAUUUUAUAUUGACAAUAACUGAUGUGCCUUACAGGUUAAUGUAUACUUUAUGGUUUCAAAAAUACAAUAUUAUAAUGAGAAUGUUCUCAUUGUAUUAUAAAAUGUGUUUAUGAUAUACCGGUAUGUGUGAUCUUAGAGUGCUGUAUGAACAACAUUGGGCACGUAUUGCUUUGUGCUCUAAAGGACUUUAUGUGCAAUGUACUGUAAGGUGUGUUUACUGUGGCCAGUGUUUCAACCAUAGUGUCAUUGUUGUCCUCCACAAUGAGCGAUUUUAGAUUGCACAACUGUUGUUUUCAAGAGACGGCUGUAGUUACUGCAGUUGUGCUCUGUAAAUAAAAGUGACACUUCAUUUCUUUUCAUCA